UGUGGGUGUCGGGCAACGGCGUAUUGUGCAAUACGAGGAAAGUCCGGGCUCCAUGGAAAACGGUGCCGGGUAACACCCGGCGGGGGAAACUUCAGGGAAAGUGCCACAGAAAAUAUACCGCCACGCAUGUGGUAAGGGUGAAAUGGUGCGGUAAGAGCGCACCGCUGUCGUGGUAACAUGACAGGCAGGGUAAACCCCACCGGGAGCAAGACCAAAUAGGCUUUUUAUGCCACGAAAGUGGCCAGUAUUUCCGACUGAUGAAAAGCGGGUAGGUUGCUAGAGGGGCAUGGCAACAUGUCUCGUAGAUGAAUCGUUGCCUCGCGUGCGUACGCACGUAUGACAGAACCCGGCUUACAGACACCCGCAUUAU
rnacentral:RNase_P_RNA from 1 species